rnacentral:rRNA from 1 species
AUUGAACGCUGGCGGCAGGCUUAACACAUGCAAGUCGAGCGGGGAAAGGUAGCUUGCUACCUGACCUAGCGGCGGACGGGUGAGUAAUGCUUAGGAAUCUGCCUAUUAGUGGGGGACAACAUCUCGAAAGGGAUGCUAAUACCGCAUACGUCCUACGGGAGAAAGCAGGGGACCUUCGGGCCUUGCGCUAAUAGAUGAGCCUAAGUCGGAUUAGCUAGUUGGUGGGGUAAAGGCCUACCAAGGCGACGAUCUGUAGCGGGUCUGAGAGGAUGAUCCGCCACACUGGGACUGAGACACGGCCCAGACUCCUACGGGAGGCAGCAAUGGGGAAUAUUGGACAAUGGGGGGAACCCUGAUCCAGCCAUGCCGCGUGUGUGAAGAAGGCCUUUUGGUUGUAAAGCACUUUAAGCGAGGAGGAGGCUACCGAGAUUAAUACUCUUGGAUAGUGGACGUUACUCGCAGAAUAAGCACCGGCUAACUCUGUG